UAGCCAACCUGCACUGCCAUGUACCAUUCAGACUACUAACCUGCUGCCUAGCAAACUGUCUCUCUCCCCAUUAAAACAGUUUAUUUCUCAAUACUCAACACUAUAACCCAAAACUGUGACACUUAUUAUAGUUCAUUUACAGCAGUGGGUUGAUUUAGAAUCCCCUCACUCAUAAAAGUCACAAUCAGAAUCCAUUGGCUGACCACCUCCUACAGUGGUGAGAUGGUUUUUGGCCAGUGUGUGAGCUGUGGCUGUGCAGCCCUGCUCAGGAAAAUAAACCACCAUGGGGAGCAAUGUAGUAUGGUCCCAAGUGGUACCAAUUGGGUAUUGCAGUAUGCGAGUGUGAUGAAUGAGGCAUGGCGGCUUACUCGUUGUUAUAAUAAUCCACCUACCCUGAUGACAUCAUCUCAGUGGUUUGUAUGUUUACCAUGGUGACCACCUCUGACCAAUGGCUAGUGGUGGUUGCUGUGAUGAAUGGGGGAGGGUUGCAAAAAGUUUGAGAUUUCAGGUCUUAAAGAAAUCAUCACAAACAAUCUCAAUAUGUGUUGUAUGGUUAUAUAGUGAGUAUACUGCUGUAUCUGAUUGUCUUAGUGUAAUUUUUACAAGAAGGGAUAUCAUGAUACGAUGAUCAUUGUGAAAUGAUCUGUCUUUUGAGGAGAAAUUGGUUGAAGAUUUUUUAAAAAUUAAGAUGAGCAAGCUCUUUAAGACCUGGAUCAAGUAACUGUUGUUGUCUAUGACCUAAACAUGUCUGUGUGUGUGUUUGUGUGUGUGUGUGUGUGUGUGUGUGUGUGUGUGUGUGUGUAUGUUUGUGUACGUGCAUACGUGCGUGCGUGCAUGUGUGUGUGAAUGUUUUCUAUGAGAAUUGCACUGCAUGCACUCCGAGUUUCCAUCCAAAAGGAAGAGUUAAAUGUUUUUUUUAGUACAUAAUAGGUACGUGAUUUUUGUCAAUUCUAAAUCUCUCAGAACUUUCUAUUUUAUUCCAGUGUGAAACCCAGUCUAUCGGAGGUUAGUUGUAUCUCUCAGUAUUCAAGGUAGUAAACUUUGCUGGCAUGAGAAAAGGUAUUAUAUAAAAUCCCUAAAAUAGUAUUUUUUUGUAAUUUGUUUUACAGGAAAAUGUAGACAGUGUUUAACUGAUACAUUUUCUACAAUUCUAUUUGAAGGGACAGUUCACCCCUAUAUCAAAAAUACACAUUUGUUCUCUUACUAGGAGUGCUACUAUCCAUCAAUUGGAUAUCAGCCAUGGAUAAGUCUUUUCCCCUUUUGAAUAUAAUAGGACUUAAUGGCACUGCAUAUUUGUGGUGCUCAAAAAAGCUCUCCAGCGUGAGUUGUUUAAACUAAUUUUACUGUUUUGUUUUGUUUUGUUUUUGUUUUGUUUUUUUAAUGAAACCGGGCAACAUAUUUUCUCUGGCAAUUUUAGGGUUAUCUAUCAUGAUAAUGAUGUAAUGUCACAUAUGCGCCUCUACUUCUAAGCAGGUGACCUAAAGCAGAAUGAAAAAAGCAGUUUACAGCGUCUGUAGGGUGAGGAGGAGUGAAAAAAAAAUGUUGUUCUGAAAAAGCUGGUUAUGAACAUAAGAUUCAACUUAUGGAUGGCUGAGCUCCCAUCAUCUCUGAAAAUGAGAAGAUGGAGCGAUUGAAAGUGAACAGAAAUUAAGCAAUAAGUCAAAUGAAGAGAUUUGCCAUCUUUAAAUGUGCAUUUGAAAGUUCUGGACAUAAGUGUAGUACAAAACAUUAAAAAAUGAGCUUAACAACAGAGCUGAAGAAUAAACCGUUCUGGAUUUGCAUCCAAGAUGCCUUAGAAAUUAAUUGGAGAGGUAUUUACCACUACGCAGCCAGGGACUGGCCAUCCCUUCUUGUAAUACCUCGUCUAUUGCCAGAGGUGAGAAUAAGUCACUGUAGUCUCUAGUCUGUUGCAGGAGAGGAUGAAGAAGUUGCACGAAUCAGAGUCAAUGGCUACUGAAUAGAGCCUUAGUCAGAUGCAGAUGUUCCAGAAAAAUACAUUUUGUCAUCAUCUCAAACAACAGCUCCCAGAAAGACAACACGACUCUGGCAAAGAAAAGAAGCCACAAAGUAAAAAGCAAAACAAGAUUACAUUUUGCUGGGGCAUUUCAACGCUGGAGACAAAUUUGCAACAUUUCUAUCGACUGGAGCAGAAAUCAAGUCCAGCCACCCCCAGUGAUUAAUUACCACCCUGCUCUUAAUAUCUCAUCAACAAACACCCCAGUCUGUCUCUAUACAUCACAUUAGCUGACAUCUUUGACCACCUAACCAUGAAACAUACUCUCUAUACUUUAACUUUUGCACAUUCUGUGAUGAACAAGUAGGGUGCUGUGUCUCAGGGGUAGAGCCAGUGACUUGUUAUCAGAAGGUCACUGGUUUGAUUUCCCCGGUCUGCAUGUAGAAGUUUCCUUGGGUAAGAUACCAAACCCCAUAUAACUGCUGCUGAUGUGAUGGUUCUUGCAUCAGUGUAUGAAUGUAUGUAUGAAUUACUGUGAGGUGCUUUGGACAAAAGCGUCUGCUAAAAUACCCUGAAAUGAAAUUGAAUAAGAGGUUUGCGCAAAGCUGUACUGCUUUGUGAGUCUAAAAUAUACAUACUUAAUAUAGUAUUUCCCUAUUUUUUUUAAUUUUAAUUUUUACACUGAUAGUAUUGGCUGUUGCAGUAACAAGCCUUAUAUUAACACCAAGGCAAAAAAGGAAGUGAUAUAAUGUCUGCUAUUGCAUUGAUAUUUUGUACAUUUUGUAAACUGUAAUAAAAGGAUGGAAGGCUGA